GACGAACGCUGGCGGCGUGCCUAAUACAUGCAAGUCGAACGCUGAAGAGAGGAGCUUGCUCUUCUUGGAUGAGUUGCGAACGGGUGAGUAACGCGUAGGUAACCUGCCUUGUAGCGGGGGAUAACUAUUGGAAACGAUAGCUAAUACCGCAUAACAAUGGAUGACACAUGUCAUUUAUAUGAAAGGGGCAAUUGCUCCACUACAAGAUGGACCUGCGUUGUAUUAGCUAGUAGGUGAGGUAAUGGCUCAUCUAGGCGACGAUACAUAGCCGACCUGAGAGGGUGAUCGGCCACACUGAGACGGGGACACAGCCCAGACUCCUUCGGGUGGCAGCCGUAGGGAAACUUCGGCAAUGGGAGCAACCCUGACCGAGCAACGCCGCGUCAGUGAAGAACGUUUUCGGAUCGUAAAGCUCUGUUUUAAGUUAAGAACGGGUUUGAGAGUGGAAAGUUCACUCUGUGACGGUAGCUGACCAGAAAGGGACGGCUAACUACGUG
rnacentral:rRNA from 1 species